AUUGCCCCAGUAACGGCGAGUGAAGCGGCAACAGCUCAAAUUUGAAAUCUGGCCCCCCAGGGCCCGAGUUGUAAUUUGCAGAGGAUGCUUUUGGCGAGGUGCCUUCCGAGUUCCCUGGAACGGGACGCCAUAGAGGGUGAGAGCCCCGUCUGGUUGGACGCCGAGCCUCUGUAAAGCUCCUUCGACGAGUCGAGUAGUUUGGGAAUGCUGCUCUAAAUGGGAGGUAUAUGUCUUCUAAAGCUAAAUAUUGGCCAGAGACCGAUAGCGCACAAGUAGAGUGAUCGAAAGAUGAAAAGCACUUUGAAAAGAGAGUUAAAUAGUACGUGAAAUUGUUGAAAGGGAAGCGCUCAUGACCAGACUUGGGCCCGGUGAAUCAUCCAGCGUUCUCGCUGGUGCACUUUGCCGGUGCCCAGGCCAGCAUCAGUUCGCCCCGGGGGAUAAAGGCUCUGGGAAUGUGGCUCCCUAGGGAGUGUUAUAGCCCAUUGCACAAUACCCUGUGGCGGACUGAGGUUCGCGCAUCUUGCAAGGAUGCUGGCGUAAUGGUCAUCAGCGACCCGUCUUGAAACACGGACCAAGGAGUCGUCUUCGUAUGCGAGUGUUCGGGUGUCAAACCCCUACGCGUAAUGAAAGUGAACGCAGGUGAGAGCUUCGGCGCAUCAUCGACCGAUCCUGAUGUCCUCGGAUGGAUUUGAGUAAGAGCAUACGGGGCCGGACCCGAAAGAAGGUGAACUAUGCCUGUAUAGGGUGAAGCCAGAGGAAACUCUGGUGGAGGCUCGCAGCGGUUCUGACGUGCAAAUCGAUCGUCAAAUAUGGGCAUGGGGGCGAAAGACUAAUCGAACC
rnacentral:rRNA from 1 species